AUGACAGUAAUUACAGUUUCUUUCAACUUGUCUCUGGUUCUCUUUUUUCAUUUGGCUCUCUCAGUUGAUAAGAUGCAGGGUGCGGGGGAGAAAAAAAAAGGAAACAUGACUUUCAAUACAACACAGUUCUAUACUCAGGAAAACCAAAUGCUGAUCCCAGUGAAGUCAAAGGCAAAGGAUCAGGAUUUAAUUCAAUUUAUCCAGCAAAACGUCUAUGCACCAGGCCUUUUGUGUUGGGGAUCUUACUCUACUGUCAGGAUCCCUGGAUUUCCACCCAUUCCAGAGUCAACCCUAUCCUUAAGGUCCCAGCAGAAUGCAACCCUGACAUUGGUGGGAGACUGA
rnacentral:lncRNA from 1 species